UACGUAGGUGGCAAGCGUUGUCCGGAUUUACUGGGUGUAAAGGGCGUGUAGGCGGGACUGCAAGUCAGGCGUGAAAACCAGAGGCUCAACCUCUGGCCUGCGUUUGAAACUGUGGUUCUUGAGUACUGGAGAGGUUGACGGAAUUCCUAGUGUAGCGGUGAAAUGCGUAGAUAUUAGGAGGAACACCAGUGGCGAAGGCGGUCAACUGGACAGCAACUGACGCUGAGGCGCGAAAGCGUGGGGAGCAAACA
rnacentral:rRNA from 1 species